rnacentral:rRNA from 1 species
GUCCCGCCUGCCCUGUGAUAUUUUUAACGGCCGCGGUAUCUUGACCGUGCGAAGGUAGCGUAAUCAAUUGUUUUUUAAUAGAAGGACCGUAUGAAAGGCAUUACGAGAGUUUAACUGUCUUUAUUUUCCAAUCAAUGAAAUUAAUCUCCUCGUGCAGAAGCGAGGAUGUUAACAUAAGACGAGAAGACCCUAUGGAGCUUUAAACACUUAAGUUAUCUUGAAAAUAAAUACGCGUCCUUGGAUAUAAAUACUUAAAAAAGUCUUAACUUAACUUGUUUUUGGUUGGGGUGACCAAGGAGAAAAACAAAACCUCCUUAUCGAAUGUGUGAUUAAUCACUCAAAAAUUAGAAUUACUAUUCUAAUCAAUAGAAAAUCUAACGAACAAUGACCCAGGGAGCUCCUCCCUGAUCAAUGAACCAAGUUACCCUAGGGAUAACAGCGCAAUCCUUUCCAAGAGCCCCCAUUACCGAAAGGGUUUACGACCUCGAUGUUGGAUCAGGACAUCCUAAUGGUGCAGCAGCUAUUAAGGGUUCGUUUGU